rnacentral:rRNA from 1 species
ACGGCGAGUGAAGCGGCAACAGCUCAAAUUUGAAAUCCGGCCCCCCGGGCCCGAGUUGUAAUUUGCAGAGGAUGCUUUUGGCGAGGCGCCGCCCGAGUUCCCUGGAACGGGACGCCACAGAGGGUGAGAGCCCCGUCUGGCUGGCCGCCGAGCCUCUGUAAAGCUCCUUCGACGAGUCGAGUAGUUUGGGAAUGCUGCUCAAAACGGGAGGUAUAUGUCUUCUAAAGCUAAAUACCGGCCAGAGACCGAUAGCGCACAAGUAGAGUGAUCGAAAGAUGAAAAGCACUUUGAAAAGAGGGUUAAACAGUACGUGAAAUUGUUGAAAGGGAAGCGCUUGCGACCAGACUCGGGCGCGGCGGAUCACCCGGCGUUCUCGCCGGUGCACUCCGCCACGCCCGGGCCAGCAUCAGUUCGCGCCGGGGGACAAAGGCGCCGGGAAUGUGGCUCCCCCGGGAGUGUUAUAGCCCGGCGCGCAAUACCCUGGGGCGGACUGAGGACCGCGCGUUUACGCAAGGAUGC